UACGGGGGGAGCAAGCGUUGUUCGGAUUUACUGGGCGUAAAGGGCGCGUAGGCGGCGCAACAAGUCACUUGUGAAAUCUCCCGGCUCAACCGGGAGGGUGCGCCGAAUACUGAACGGCUAGAGUGCGGGAGAGGAGAGUGGAAUUCCUGGUGUAGCGGUGAAAUGCGUAGAUAUCAGGAGGAACACCGGUGGUGUAGACGGCUCUCUGGACCGUAACUGACGCUGAGGCACGAAAGCGUGGGUAGCAAACAGG
rnacentral:rRNA from 1 species